GGAGUUAGCCGGUGCUUCUUCUGUGAGUGAUGUCCUUCCUGCCGGUUAUUGACCCGCAGGCCUUCUUCCUCACUGAAAGUGCUUUACAACCCGAAGGCCUUCUUCACACACGCGGCAUGGCUGGAUCAGGGUUGCCCCCAUUGUCCAAUAUUCCCCACUGCUGCCUCCCGUAGGAGUCUGGGCCGUGUCUCAGUCCCAGUGUGGCUGAUCAUCCUCUCAGACCAGCUACGGAUCGUCGCCUUGGUGAGCCGUUACCUCACCAACCAGCUAAUCCGACAUAGGCUCAUCCGAUAGCGCGAGGCCCGAAGGUCCCCCGCUUUCCCCCGUAGGGCGUAUGCGGUAUUAGCCUGGGUUUCCCCAGGUUAUCCCCCACUACCGGGCAGAUUCCUAUGCAUUACUCACCCGUCCGCCGCUCGCCACCAGGGAGCAAGCUCCCCGUGCUGCCGCUCGACUUGCAUGUGUUAGGCCUGCCGCCACGCGUUCAUCUGAGCCGACGAGUACAAACUACUCGA
rnacentral:rRNA from 1 species